rnacentral:rRNA from 1 species
UACGUAGGUGGCAAGCGUUAUCCGGAUUUAUUGGGUGUAAAGGGCGUGUAGGCGGGAGCGCAAGUCAGAUGUGAAAACUCAGGGCUCAACCCUGAGCCUGCAUUUGAAACUGUGUUUCUUGAGUGCUGGAGAGGCAGACGGAAUUCCUAGUGUAGCGGUGAAAUGCGUAGAUAUUAGGAGGAACACCAGUGGCGAAGGCGGUCUGCUGGACAGCAACUGACGCUGAGGCGCGAAAGCGUGGGGAGCAAACAGG